UUAAUUGCUGAGCUGUGAAGAAAAAU
rnacentral:piRNA from 1 species